rnacentral:rRNA from 1 species
AUACGGAGGAUCCGAGCGUUAUCCGGAUUUAUUGGGUUUACAGGGUGCGCAGGCGGCCAUUUAAGUCAGCGGUUAAAUCAUGGGGCUCAACCCCAUUCUGCCGUUGAUACUGGUUUCCUUGAGUAAGGUUCAGGCGGGAGGAAUUCGUGGUGUAGAGGUGAAAUGCUUAGAUAUCACGAAGAACUCCGAUCGCGAAGGCAGCUCACCGGGCCGGAACUGACACUGAUGCUCGAAAGUGCGGGUAUCAAACAGGAUUAGAUACCCUGGUAGUCCGCACAGUAAACGAUGAAUACUCGCUGUUUGCAAUACACGGUAAGCGGCCAAGCGAAAGCGUUAAGUAUUCCACCUGGGGAGUACGCCGGCAACGGUGAAACUCAAAUGAAUUGGCGGGG